GCCCCCGUAGCUCAGCUGGAUAGAGCAGCGGCCUUCUAAGCCGUUGGUCGCACGUUCGAAUCGUGCCGGGGGUG
rnacentral:tRNA from 1 species